GACGGAGGGGGCAAGCGUUGUUCGGAAUUACUGGGCGUAAAGGGCGUGUAGGCGGCCUUUCAAGUCGAUUGUGAAAUCCCUUGGCUCAACCAAGGAAGGGCAGUCGAUACUGGAAGGCUUGAGUCCGGGAGAGGAGAGUGGAAUUCCCAGUGUAGCGGUGGAAUGUGUAGAUAUUGGGAGGAACACCAGUGGCGAAGGCGGCUCUCUGGCCCGAGACUGACGCUGAGGCGCGAAAGCCAGGGGAGCGAACGGGAUUAGAUACCCGCGUA
rnacentral:rRNA from 1 species